rnacentral:rRNA from 1 species
UACGUAGGAGGCAAGCGUUGUCCGGAGUUACUGGGCGUAAAGCGCACGCAGGCGGUCUUGUCAGUCUGUAGGGACAGGGCACAGCUCAACUGUGUCAGGCUUACGGAAACUGCAAGACUUGGAGGGCUUCAGAGGGAUGGGGAAUUCCGGGUGGAGUGGUGAAAUGCGUAGAGAUCCGGAAGAACACCAAAGGCGAAGGCACCAUCCUGGGGAGUCACUGACGCUCGGGUGCGAAAGCUAGGGGAGCGAACGGG